AUGUUUAUUUUCUUAGGGUGCCCUGUAUCUGGAUACAACGGUGAUGACUGCUACAUUUCUUGUUCUGACCCCGAUUGUCGCAAAAGUCACGUCAAGACGGGCACCUGUCAGGGCCGUGAUUCGAGAUAUACAGAUCAUCAAUAUGGAUUGGCUAAUAGAUGUAUGUGUUUUGAAGAUCCUAAAGAACUGAUGAGUUGCAAAGAUGAACAAAUAGAUGGAAUAUUAUGGAAUACCACAAUAGCGGGUAAAACUUUAAAGCAGCCGUGUCCUAGUUAUCAAAAAGGGGUGGCAACAAGAUUGUGUGAUGAACAUGGAGAAUGGGAACCUCCUAACUUUAUCAACUGCACCAACGAAGCUUUGAUGAAUGCAUCGGCACUUUUGGAACGUAUCAUCGAAAAUGAAACACAGGAUCAAAUCCAGGAGACGGUUAACAAUACUCUAGAACUGAUGAAGAACCUGACAUCGACGACUAGUAGAAUCAGUGCUGGGGAUUUAAGCUCCUCUCUGGGCGUUUUGGAGAAGAUUGUCACAGUAACAAACGCUACGGGAUUAGCUAUCGAAAAAGAGGUAUUUUACGCUGUUAUUGAUAACAUAUUGUCGUCCGAUAACUCAAACUCUUGGACUAUUGUAAGCAAAGAGACAGAAAAAGACCCCACAUUUCUCCUAAAGAAUAUGGACCGUUUCAGCAAGAUUACACUCCAAAACGACAAUAUUACAGCAACUAAAUUCAACGGAUCUAAUUUUGAGCUUGUUAUCAACCAAACAAAAACCGAUGAAACGGGAAUACGUUUUCCGGAGGAACAAUCAAACAACGUUUCUCAAAACUCAGAAGAAAUUCCUACCUUUCUAGAAUUACCAAAACAAGCAUCAAACGAUAUAAAAGCGAUCAACUUUGUUGCUGUUCUAUACAAAACAAUGUCAGACAUUCUGGGUUCUGAUUCUAAUAGUAAAGAGAAAAAAGGUAAACAUGCGAAAAUGUCUGAGCGAAGAUUCUUUGUCAAUUCCCCAAUAUUGUCCCUCACGACCCAGGCAGACCUAGGAGUGUUGAAUCCACCUCUCAAUCUAAUGUUUGGACACACUGUGAAAGUAACAGAAGAAAAUCCAUUCUUAAAAACGAUGUCACUUGUUGGAGUAGCUCUCUCCAUAGCUUUUACGUUUCUUACUUCUUUGAUUUACGUCCUGACAUGGAGAUUUGUCAGGAGUGACAAAAACGUCAUGAUGCUGAAUAUUUGUGGAUCGUUAAUACUGUCAAAUACAAUGUUUAUAUCAUUAGUGGAACAGACAGCGAAUGAGAUUGCUUGCAUCGCGAUAACGGCCAUUAUCCACUACCUUUUCUUAGUGACAUUCUUCAGUAUGCUAGGAUUAGGUGUAUAUUACUUUAUGAGUAUUACAGUGAAUUACUAUGCCCUGUAUGUUGGAAACAACUUCAAGUCAAAAUCAAGGGUUCAUUUGUUUCUAGGUGGAAUCUGGGAUAAACAUUCUUAUAAUUGUUUCACUUCUGAGGGUGUUGUUUACUUCAAGCAUAGUGGAAAGGUCUUCACUACAGAGGAAAGCGUCAUCCGGUCUGCGGUCACUCGGAACACUUCUGCCAGUUCUAGGAGUGACUUGGCUGUUCGGAAUCCUGGCAGUUAACGAACAUGCAGUUGUGUUUCAGUAUUUAUUUGUCUUUGCAAAUUCAUUCCAGGGGUUCUUCAUUUUUCUUUCACAAGUUUUGUUGGACAAAAAGGUCAGC
rnacentral:sRNA from 1 species